rnacentral:rRNA from 1 species
GAUGAACGCUGGCGGCGUGCCUAAUACAUGCAAGUCGAGCGAACAGACGAGGAGCUUGCUCCUCUGACGUUAGCGGCGGACGGGUGAGUAACACGUGGAUAACCUACCUAUAAGACUGGGAUAACUUCGGGAAACCGGAGCUAAUACCGGAUAAUAUAUUGAACCGCAUGGUUCAAUAGUGAAAGACGGUUUUGCUGUCACUUAUAGAUGGAUCCGCGCCGCAUUAGCUAGUUGGUAAGGUAACGGCUUACCAAGGCAACGAUGCGUAGCCGACGUGAGAGGGUGAUCGGCCACACUGGAACUGAGACACGGUCCAGACUCCUACGGGAGGCAGCAGUAGGGAAUCUUCCGCAAUGGGCGAGAACCUGACGGAGCAACGCCGCGUGAGUGAUGAAGGUCUUCGGAUCGUAAAACUCUGUUAUUAGGGAAGAACAAAUGUGUAAGUAACUAUGCACGUCUUGACGGUACCUAAUCAGAAAGCCACGGCUAACUACGUG